GCCAGACUCCUACGGGAGGCAGCAGUGGGGGAUAUUGCACAAUGGGGGAAACCCUGAUGCAGCGACGCCGCGUGAGUGAAGAAGUAUUUCGGUAUGUAAAGCUCUAUCAGCAGGGAAGAAAAAAGACGGUACCUGACUAAGAAGCCCCGGCUAACUACGUGCCAGCAGCCGCGGUAAUACGUAGGGGGCAAGCGUUAUCCGGAUUUACUGGGUGUAAAGGGAGCGUAGACGGCAAUACAAGUCGGAAGUGAAAUACCCGGGCUCAACCUGGGAACUGCUUCGGAAACUGUAUGGCUGGAGUGCUGGAGAGGUAAGCGGAAUUCCUAGUGUAGCGGUGAAAUGCGUAGAUAUUAGGAGGAACACCAGUGGCGAAGGCGGCUUACUGGACAGUAACUGACGUUGAGGCUCGAAAGCGUGGGGAGCAAACAGGAUUAGAUACCCCGGUAGG
rnacentral:rRNA from 1 species